rnacentral:rRNA from 1 species
AACGAACGCUGGCGGCAUGCCUAACACAUGCAAGUCGAACGAGACCUUCGGGUCUAGUGGCGCACGGGUGCGUAACGCGUGGGAACCUGCCCUUAGGUUCGGAAUAACUCCCCGAAAGGGGUGCUAAUACCGGAUAAUGUCUUCGGACCAAAGAUUUAUCGCCUUUGGAUGGGCCCGCGUUGGAUUAGCUAGUUGGUAGGGUAAAAGCCUACCAAGGCGACGAUCCAUAGCUGGUCUGAGAGGAUGAUCAGCCACACUGGGACUGAGACACGGCCCAGACUCCUACGGGAGGCAGCAGUAGGGAAUAUUGGACAAUGGGCGAAAGCCUGAUCCAGCAAUGCCGCGUGAGUGAUGAAGGCCUUAGGGUUGUAGAGCUCUUUUACCCGGGAUGAUAAUGACAGUACCGGGAGAAUAAGCUCCGGCUAACUCCGUG